CGGCAUGCCUUACACAUGCAAGUCGAACGGCAGCAGGAGCAAUCCUGGUGGCGAGUGGCGAACGGGUGAGUAAUAUAUCGGAACGUGCCCAGUCGUGGGGGAUAGCGUAGCGAAAGCUACGCUAAUACCGCAUACGAUCUAUGGAUGAAAGCGGGGGAUCGCAAGACCUCGCGCGAUUGGAGCGGCCGAUAUCAGAUUAGGUAGUUGGUGUGGUAAAGGCUCACCAAGCCGACGAUCUGUAGCUGGUCUGAGAGGACGACCAGCCACACUGGGACUGAGACACGGCCCAGACUCCUACGGGAGGCAGCAGUGGGGAAUUUUGGACAAUGGGCGCAAGCCUGAUCCAGCAAUGCCGCGUGCAGGAUGAAGGCCUUCGGGUUGUAAACUGCUUUUGUACGGAACGAAACGGUGAGCUCUAAUACAGUUUGCUAAUGACGGUACCGUAAGAAUAAGCACCGGCUAACUACGUG
rnacentral:rRNA from 1 species